UUUAGUAGAAGGUUUGCGGUUUACGAAAUGGUUAAGUUUGCGCUCGAAGAAAAUUGGGAAAUAUUAAAAACUUUCUUCCAAAGUCUUCAACCGAAACUGCAAGAAAAUUGCUGUCAAAUUUCGGAAAAAAUAAAGGGGCUUCCAGGUAGCUUGUGGAUAGUUUUGUGAAGCGUGUGCGUGAGACUGGAUCGUUGAUGGAUAAAACAACACGUUUACGUGCUCGUCCAGUUCGGUCGGUGGAAAAUAUCGGUGCGGUGGCCGAAAGUGUCAAUGACAAUCCGUCAACAUUAAAGCCUAGUAUCCAGAUCGACAAACGAUUACGCUAGCGUAAAAAUUUUGUUAUGGAACUGCAUUUGGUCCUGGGACGGCGCCGGCUAGCUCCCGAAUCCCCAGGGCGGAGUAUCCCCAAUGUCCCUACAGAUUCCACAACAUAAACAUCGAUGACACGCGUCUCACAUCACAAAAAAUAUCGGUCUUCACUAACAAGCAACACAAACAAAAUGUAAACAAUGCAAUUAAUUGAAGUGACGGGAAAUAUAUGGCGUUUUGGUGGCUAUUGGUGACCUAGCCAAGCACGCCCACCCAACCAAGGAUGCCCCGGAUGAUUCUGCGGAGGCAUCACCCAUGAUCAGCUGGUCCAAGUCACUCCUCGCGACUAGGACAGCUCCAUCUCCCCCACAACGACAACUCACUCGUACAUUUCAGUCUUCAUGUACAUUUAAUAUCCACACCUCUACGACCAAACUUGGCCACCGUCUUCAAAUUUAAUCGGUCAAAGCGGAAGAUUACCUUCCUUUGGCAAAGGCUACAGGCGCCGCGGAAAUAAUGUUCCACCAGUCACUUAUUGGUGGAACUCGCAUUGAACGAGGCGCACAAAAGCACACACACGGUUAGUGUGUCGGGUCACCUAAUCCUGAGGAGCUCCUGGGGAAAAGAAGGGACAGGCCAAACGGCAACAACGAGGACAAGAAUUGGGGUUGUCGGGUCUAAGUCCGGAUAAAUUUACAGGUCAACAGCCACUUCUGGGCUAGGCGCCGGGCUAACUAUGCCCCGACUACAGCGUACUCUGCCGGAGACCAGCAGCAGUAAGGGCCUGGAACACCCCGAGGAGCGGUGGCGAAGGCGAGCCUGAUGGCGGUGCCUCUCAACGCCGCGCGCACUGGCAGCCUGACGACCCCAAAGCAGGUGGGUCUUAAUAGCGCGGAACGGACUCACCGGUGAAUGUCGGAUGGCGUUGGCUGCGUCCGAGGAAGGCGAGUAGUGUUUGUCCAGAUCUCGUAGCUGGCUCGACCGAAGAUUUAAUUCCCUCCAAUUUAAAUCUCCAAUUUGAAUUUCCAGAUUUAAUUAGUCCAAUUUUAUAUGUCCAAUUAAGUCUUCUAAUUUGAACUUCCAAUUUAAUUUCCUCCAAUUUAAAUAUCCCGGGGCCCUUUGUAUUGGGACCCCGGUUGCCCUACGAAUAAUUAUUUAUAAAUAAAAUAAACUAUUAAACCUAACACAAAUUUCUCUAACACUCACUUUUUAUUAUAUUUCGGCACAAACACUAUUUUAACAUUUUUGUUCUGUCUGCUGGGACAAUAUGGCUGCGACUAUAUAGAAAUUUGCCUAUCAUGCCUAUAUCUCGCCAUAUUCCCUUCGCCUCUCUCGAAAUUGGGUCAUUGGGCAUAUCAAGGCCAUCCUAGCCAUACCCAGAGCGAACCGGGCUAGUUUAAAAUAGCUAGAUAGCCAAGACAUCAGCAGAAGGGGGCGCCACUCCAGUAGGAGUUGCCACCCUCCUUCUUUAUCGAUA